rnacentral:ncRNA from 1 species
CGUGUGCCUAGCCUGACGGGGCGAACGUGGGAUUCCUUUCACCCACUGGCACACCUUAUUCUUGAAAGG